GACGAACGCUGGCGGCGUGCCUAAUACAUGCAAGUAGAACGCUGAAGCUUGGUGCUUGCACCGAGCGGAUGAGUUGCGAACGGGUGAGUAACGCGUAGGUAACCUGCCUGGUAGCGGGGGAUAACUAUUGGAAACGAUAGCUAAUACCGCAUAAUAGUAGAUGUUGCAGGACAUUUGCUUAAAAGGUGCAAUUGCAUCACUACCAGAUGGACCUGCGUUGUAUUAGCUAGUUGGUGAGGUAACGGCUCACCAAGGCAACGAUACAUAGCCGACCUGAGAGGGUGAUCGGCCACACUGGGACUGAGACACGGCCCAGACUCCUACGGGAGGCAGCAGUAGGGAAUCUUCGGCAAUGGACGGAAGUCUGACCGAGCAACGCCGCGUGAGUGAAGAAGGUUUUCGGAUCGUAAAGCUCUGUUGUAAGAGAAGAACGAGUGUGAGAGUGGAAAGUUCACACAG
rnacentral:rRNA from 1 species